ACGUGAAAACGCCCCGGACUGCGGCUGCGCCGCUUACCCGCACACAGACGGUUGGCAGAGGAAGAAAGCCUUGUCACACUAAAGGAGAGACAGCGGAUGUUCUGAACAGUCCUGUCGUGAAACGUUAGACAACGUGGACGAAACAGGCACAUUCCUAAGCAUCACACAUUACUGAAACUCAGUCAAGAAGAAAUAGAAAAUCUGAAUACAUCCAUGGCAAGCACAGAAACUGAACUAGGGGAUUCGAAAUCUUCCCACAAAGAAAAGCCUAGGCCCAACUGGCCUCUAUGUUUCAGACUUUGGACAACAUGUAGCCCAGGACAGUGAUCCCUGAGAAAAGGAAGACAAAUGAGGUGACACUGUGAUAGACCCAGAUCAACGCCUGGAAAAAGUUUCAAAGCUACAAUGUGAGGAGUGGGGACAAAACAGUCUAGUGGCUUUGCUGAGUGGAGAAGGCAAGUACUGGAGUCCAGGCAAAGUAUUGGUGAAGGUGGAGCCCUGGAGAAAAAGAACUCUAGAGAUCUGUAAGAGGCUCUCCUUGAAACUUCUACUGAGCACAGUUCUGCACAUGCAUGUAUAGAAUUUACUCAAGAUGAAGAAAGAACCAACGAAAAAAAGCAUAGUAUAAUGCUGAGAACUCAUAAAAUCGAGUAGGAAAUCUUGCCUAUUGAAAGAGCAUUGAGACAGAGUCCUCAGAAGGAAUUUUCUCAGUGGUGGGAACAAAUUAGCUAUAAACCCAAGUUUGCUCUGAUAUUGCUAUAACAAAGCUUAAAAGCAACUCUCAAAAGGCUCAAACUGAGUACAAAACAUCUAAUUGUAACCCAGGGUACUUCCCAACAGUAUUCAAGGGAAUAAAAUAUUUUGUGUAUAUUUUGUAUUACAGGAA
rnacentral:lncRNA from 1 species